rnacentral:rRNA from 1 species
UGGGGAAUAUUGCACAAUGGGCGCAAGCCUGAUGCAGCAACGCCGCGUGAGGGACGACGGCCUUCGGGUUGUAAACCUCUUUUAGUAGGGAAGAAGCGAAAGUGACGGUACCUGCAGAAAAAGCACCGGCUAACUACGUGCCAGCAGCCGCGGUAAUACGUAGGGUGCGAGCGUUGUCCGGAAUUAUUGGGCGUAAGGAGCUCGUAGGCGGUCUGUCGCGUCUGCUGUGAAAACCCGAGGCUCAACCUCGGGCCUGCAGUGGGUACGGGCAGACUAGAGUGCGGUAGGGGAGAAUGGAAUUCCUGGUGUAGCGGUGGAAUGCGCAGAUAUCAGGAGGAACACCGAUGGCGAAGGCAGUUCUCUGGGCCGUAACUGACGCUGAGGAGCGAAAGCGUGGGGAGCGAACAGGAUUAGAUACCCUGGUAGUCCACGCCGUAAACGUUGGGCGCUAGAUGUGGGGACCAUUCCACGGUUUCCGUGUCGCAGCUAACGCAUUAAGCGCCCCGCCUGGGGAGUACGGCCGCAAGGCU